UACGAAGGGUGCAAACGUUGCUCGGAAUCAUUGGGCGUAAAGCGCACGUAGGCGGCUUUGCAAGUCGGAUGUGAAAUCCCGUGGCUCAACCAUGGACGUGCAUUCGAAACUGCAAGGCUUGAGUAUGGAAGAGGGUCGCGGAAUUCCCGGUGUAGAGGUGAAAUUCGUAGAUAUCGGGAGGAACACCAGUGGCGAAGGCGGCGACCUGGGCCAAUACUGACGCUGAGGUGCGAAAAGCGUGGGGAGCAAACAGG
rnacentral:rRNA from 1 species